UGUGUCUUUGGGACCUGUCUCUGUGGCAGUCUCCCUUCCUAGCCAUGGAAGAGCAUCCUCUUGUUUAUUGGCAAAGCUGUCACCAUUUAAUUGGUAUCAGAUUCUGACUUGCACAAGUGACAUUCUUCACGUCUACAGCCCUGGGGGGUGCGGGGUGACUGCGCAAAGAUGUAUUUUUCAAAUGUUUGCGAGGUUGACCUAAUGGCUGCAAUGGAUGAUGGGAAGCAUACGGUCCGGGACGAGAAGGCCCUGACUCGGGUGAGUCUCCGGGAGCCUCCUGCAUGCCCAGGACAACGGGAUUUCGAGUCAGCAGCUCCAGGAUGGCUGGGAAAUGAUGUGAUGGAACAAAACGAUGUUCUGGGAACUACAGGAAGUAUUUUCAGUUAUGCCUGGAUAUUGGCAGAUGAGUGCGUGCUUGUUAGGAUUAAAUAAAGUGCUGGUUCGUCUGGC